AUGAAGAACGUAGCGAAAUGCGAUACCUGGUGUGAAUUGCAGAAUCCCGCGAACCAUCGAGUCUUUGAACGCAAGUUGCGCCCGAGGCCACUCGGCCGAGGGCACGCCUGCCUGGGCGUCACGCCAAAACACGCUCCCAACCACCCUCAACGGGAUUCGGGAUGCGGCAUCUGGUCCCUCGUCUCUCAAGGGACGGUGGACCGAAGAUUGGGCUGCCGGCGUACCGCGCCGGACACAGCGCAUGGUGGGCGUCCUCGCUUUAUCAAUGCAGUGCAUCCGGCGCGCAGCUGGCAUUAUGGCCUUUGAACGACCCAACAAACGAAGCGCACGUCGCUUCGACCGCGACCCCAGGUCAGGCGGGACUACCCGCUGAGUUUAAGCAUAUAAAUAAGCGGAGGAGAAGAAACUUACAAGGAUUCCCCUAGUAACGGCGAGCGAACCGGGAGCAGCCCAGCUUGAGAAUCGGGCGGUUGUGCCGUCCGAAUUGUAGUCUGGAGAGGCGUCCCCACCGACGGACCGGGCCCAAGUCCCCUGGAAAGGGGCGCCUGGGAGGGUGAGAGCCCCGUCCGGCCCGGACCCUGUCGCCCCACGAGGCGCCGUCAACGAGUCGGGUUGUUUGGGAAUGCAGCCCAAAUCGGGCGGUAGACUCCGUCCAAGGCUAAAUACAGGCGAGAGACCGAUAGCGAACAAGUACCGCGAGGGAAAGAUGAAAAGGACUUUGAAAAGAGAGUCAAAGAGUGGUUGAAAUUGCCGGGAGGGAAGCGGAUGGGGGCCGGCGAUGCACCCCGGCCGUAUGCGGAACGGCUCUUGCUGGUCCGCCGCUCGGCUCGGGGUGUGGACUGUUGUCGGCCGCGCCGGCGGCCAAAGCCCGGGGGCCCUAGGUGCCCCCGGUGGCCGUCGUCGGCACGGCCGGUACCCGCGCGCCUAAAGGCGUGUCCCUCGGGGCACUGCGCUGCAACGGCCUGCGGGCUCCCCAUCCGACCCGUCUUGAAACACGGACCAAGGAGUCUGACAUGCGUGCGAGUCGACGGGUUCUGAAACCUGGGAUGCGCAAGGAAGCUGACGAGCGGGAGGCCCUCACGGGCCGCACCGCUGGCCGACCCUGAUCUUCUGUGAAGGGUUCGAGUUGGAGCACGCCUGUCGGGACCCGAAAGAUGGUGAACUAUGCCUGAGCGGGGCGAAGCCAGAGGAAACUCUGGUGGAGGCUCGAAGCGAUACUGACGUGCAAAUCGUUCGUCUGACUUGGGUAUAGGGGCGAAAGACUAAUCGAAC
rnacentral:misc_RNA from 1 species